UGUAGUAAUACAAGGCAGACGGCUCAGUAACGCGUAGUCAACCUACCCUAUGGACGGGGAUAACCUCGGGAAACUGAGAAUAAUACCCGAUAGAACAUUAUGCCUGGAAUGGUUUAUGUUUCAAAUAAUUUAUUGCCGUAGGAUGGGACUGCGGCCUAUCAGUUUGUUGGUGAGGUAAUGGCCCACCAAGACUAUUGCAGGUACGGGCUCUGAGAGGAGUAGCCCGGAGAUGGGUACUGAGACACGGACCCAGGCCCUAUGGGGCGCAGCAGGCGAGAAAACUUUGCAAUGUGCGAAAGCACGACAAGGUUAAUCCGAGUGGUUUCUGCUAAAGGAACCUUUUGUCAGUCCUAGAAACACUGAUGAAUAAGGGGUGGGCAAGUUCUGGUGUCAGCCGCCGCGGUAAAACCAGCACCUCAAGUGGUCAGGAUGAUUAUUGGGCCUAAAGCAUCCGUAGCCUGCUUUGUAAGUUUUCGGUUAAAUCCAUACGCUCAACGUAUGGGCUGCCGGGAAUACUGCAAAGCUAGGGAGUGGGAGAGGUAGACGGUACUCGGUAGGAAGGGGUAAAAUCCUUUGAUCUAUUGAUGACCACCUGUGGCGAAGGCGGUCUACCAGAACACGUCCGACGGUGAGGGAUGAAAGCUGGGGGAGCAAACCGGAUUAGAUACCCGGGUAGUCCCAGCUGUAAACUAUGCAAACUCAGUGAUGCAUUGGCUUGAUGCCAAUGCAGUGCUGCAGGGAAGCCGUUAAGUUUGCCGCCUGGGAAGUACGUACGCAAGUAUGAAACUUAAAGGAAUUGGCGGGGGAGCACCACAAGGGGUGAAGCCUGCGGUUCAAUUGGA
rnacentral:rRNA from 1 species